rnacentral:rRNA from 1 species
AGUGAACGCUGGCGGUAGGCCUAACACAUGCAAGUAGAACGGCAGCACAGUAAGAGCUUGCUCUUACGGGUGGCGAGUGGCGGACGGGUGAGGAAUACAUCGGAAUCUACUUUUUCGUGGGGGAUAACGUAGGGAAACUUACGCUAAUACCGCAUACGACCUACGGGUGAAAGCAGGGGAUCUUCGGACCUUGCGCGAUUGAAUGAGCCGAUGUCGGAUUAGCUAGUUGGCGGGGUAAAGGCCCACCAAGGCGACGAUCCGUAGCUGGUCUGAGAGGAUGAUCAGCCACACUGGAACUGAGACACGGUCCAGACUCCUACGGGAGGCAGCAGUGGGGAAUAUUGGACAAUGGGCGCAAGCCUGAUCCAGCCAUACCGCGUGGGUGAAGAAGGCCUUCGGGUUGUAAAGCCCUUUUGUUGGGAAAGAAAAGCAGCAGGUUAAUACCCCGCUGCUCUGACGGUACCCAAAGAAUAAGCACCGGCUAACUUCGUG